rnacentral:tRNA from 1 species
AGCAGAUUGGCACAGGGGAAGCGUGCUGGGCCCAUAACCCAGAGGUCGGUGGAUCGAAACCACUCUCUGAUA